ensembl:lncRNA
GGCUGGAGGAUGAAUCUGUCCCCAGUGGCCAGUGAUUUAAUCAAUCAUGUCUAUGUACUGAGACCGCCAUCAAAACCCGAAAGGAUGGAGUUUGGAGAGCUUCCUGGUUGGUGAACAUGUGGGGUUUCCGGGAGAGCGGUGCUUGGAGAGAACCGGAAAUCUUCAUGCCCUUUCCCCGUACCUUGCCCUAUAAAUCUCUUCCAUCGGGCUGUUCCUGAGUUAUAUCCUUUUCUAAUAAACUGGUGAUCUAGUAAGUAAAAUGUUUCUCUGAGUUCUGUGAGCUGCUCUGGCAGGUUAAUCGAACGCAAGGAGGGGGUUCCGGGAACCUCUGAGUUAUAGCUAAUGGGUCAGAAGCAGGUGAUGCGGAUCCGGGCUGCCCCAGGGAGAGAAGCCCAAGGCGUCCUGCCCUGCAUGCGCAUCCAUAUCAUCCUCCGGGAAGCCUAGGGCGUCCUGACCUGAUCCGACCUGAUUCCUACGCAAAGUUAUAGGACCACCCGAUACCCAGACAGGUAGAUCAACCUAUAAUGUCAUCUGAGUUACGACCCAGUUUCUGAGAAAUCAAGAGCAACUGUCCUUGGAAAAUCCUUGUAAGGCUGGAAAGCAGCUCUAGAGGUGUUCAGCUUCCACCCAUUUCCCUCAUCUCAAAGAGCUUGCAAAUCCUCUGGGGACCACCUAGCCCAUCACUAAUUCCUAAGACUGAAGAAAAAAAAGGAAAAAAACGGCCAUAAGUGUGCCCUUGCCAAAAAAUCUAGCAUCUUAAAUGUCUUCUCCACAAAUAUUAGUAAAAAGGCUCAAAAGAAAGUUUGGAUUCAUAACUGGUGAGCUUUAGCAGUAAUUUUUAAAACAGUAGCUGUGGAGAUUCAGUGUAUGUGUGUCUAUAUAUGUUAUAUUGUGUGGUAUUUUACCUCCGGAUGGUAUGGCCAAAAUUAAGAGCUCUGUUUAAUUGUCUUAAAGUAAGUGCUUGCAUAAAUUAUAGGUGUAGUGGAAAUUAACCCAAUGUCUUUUAAGUUAACAUGAUAAAGAUUAACUUCUGGUAAAAGAAAGCUUGUUUAAAUUUGUUGGUUUGAUUGAAACAGGCAUGUCUUCAGAGCUGUCAGUAUUUAGAUAUGAUGCAGACAUACAGCCUGGGUUUACUAAUCACAUAAGCUCAUGCUGUCUGUUAGAAAUUCAUCAGCAAAAUAAUAGCUUUAAAUGAUAGCUAGUUUUGUCCAGUGUUUCACGAGGAUUUCAUGGGUAAUCUGAACACAAUUGUUGGAAACAAAUGAUUUAGACAGAUGAAAAUGGGUAAGAGUUUUUGGGUACAAUAAUUAAGUUUUAUGGGCUGUAUACUUGAGAAAAAACCAGCUUCCAAAUUCUUUUUGGUAACAAUCUUGAGUUUUGCCAAGUUAAGUUAAAUGAUAAAAAUCUGUUGAGUAUCUGGGUCAUUUUUGAAUAGGAUGGAACACUGAAACGUUAUUGCUGCACCUGUCUAAUUUAUCCCUUUGGCUUCUUAUUGCAGAGAGGCUAAAGGAUGUCUUGGUCUAUUAGCAAACAUGCCUGUGUUUUAUUACUGUGAAGUAGCAUGUUUCCUAGAAAUUAUGAAAAGUGUUUAGAAUUGUGAUAAAAAAGGCAAUUUAUAGUUGCUUAGUUUUUAUAGUGUCUCUUAAGGGUUAAAAAUUCUCAAUAUAUGUAAUUAAAGCUACUGGAAAUUAAAAUGGAAAACAGCUUUGUAUACAAGGAACUUAAAAUGUAUAUUUUCAGUAAAGAGGGUAUAAAGAAUGGAAGUAUUUUUGUUGGGUUAAGAAAGAUAAAUUUGUCCUCAGGUCCUAGAAGAGAAGAAUGAAAGCAUGGGACAAAUUCUGAACAUAAAAGGAAGUUGUAGAAGGACUCAUUUGAAAACAUUGGCUAUAUUACCAAGGCUUUGACUGGAAUGUCAUAUUUGAGAGAAACAUACAGGCUCAGAUAUGACAAGACAGCUUUUCAGGAACAAAAAUUGGACCUUCUGGAAUAAAGCCACUUGGAAAUAUUGGCCUGGUUGUUUACAGAGAUUCAGGCAAUCUUACCUGGUAAGUAAGGAAGCUCACUUAUCUGGAGGGUGCAAGGAACCUCGAAAUAUUUUGGGGGAUCUCAAAAAGAGAGGAAGCCACCCAAAUCUGUAGGUAUUACAGGCAAAAUCUGAUGGCAAGUCCUUGGCUUGGCUUUUCUGGCUUUGAGAGGCCUUUAAAGUUCGAUCUGAGAUUCCUCAUAAAAAAAUUCUAGCAAAGUAGAUUUAAAAGAGCCUAUGUGAUCAAUUGCUGUUCGUGCUGCACUUAUGUAAAUAAUUGGACCAAGUUUUAUUGAAACUACACUUAUUUUGAAGACCAGUUAAUCUUAAUUUGUCUAUCUUUUGUAAAAAUGAGGGUGAUUUUAGAGAGAAAAAUGAUGUUUCAGUAGAAGGUAUAGUACGCAUUCAUGGAUGUUAGAUUCUAGCUCUUCUCCCCUACAAGAUUCACCUGUUACUAAUCAUAAGGUCUCCUUGUGGCCAUCUGUCUCUGAUACCUGGGAGUUCCCUGGCCACAGUCAAACCUUUUCUUUCAACUCUCCUGCCCAAACACUAACUAAAUUUGCCUUGUCACAGGUGGGUCAUAAACAACAAGUUCCUAAGGUAAACUCCCCAACCUAUGGAUACACACAGGAUGGACUAUUUCAAAUUUGGGACAAAUAUCUUUGGUUCACUCCUACUAGUGGUCAACUCAGUCAAAAGGCCACUCUAUCUUGGGAACAAACCAAUCACACCUGUGAUACGUGGCCUAAUAGCAUCUGACCUAUGGGACAAAUUCCCCAUUACACAUGUUCUCAUAUCAUAGUUCUCUUAUCAUGUCAUAAGAAAUACUGAUUGGUUUGGGACUGACUGGGAUAGACGGCCCAGCACACGUUGGUUAGCCCCUAAUGGCACUCACUGGUUAUGUGGCUCCAACUUAUGGCCUUGGCUGCCACCUGGAUGGAUUGGACGAUGCACCCCAGGCUUCGUCUGGAUGCAAGGUAGAACUACAUUUACUGUGUCUCCUCCUGCAAACCUACCCAACCUACAGCGACGCUGGACCUGUUCUGUCUUCCACUGGUGUGGUCACCUUGCCUCAAUUUUCCUUCCCCAAUUAGGAAUCGAAAGUGUCAUCUGGCACAUGGAAGCCCUAAACAAAUUUACCAUGAAGGCAUUAAACGAUACACAACAUAACCUUUCGCUGCUCGAUUUAGAGGUAUCCCACAUACAUAAGGUAGUCCUCCAAACCGAAUGGCACUGGAUGUCUUGACGGCAGCACAGGGGGGCACUUGUGCCAUUAUAAAAACCGAAUGUUGUGUCUAUAUUCCUGACUACCAUCAAAAUAUCUGGCUUCCUAUCUGAUAUGAGCCACCAAGUUAAAUCCAUAUCUGACCCCACCCUAUCCCUAAAUCAUUGGUUGGACUCCUGGUCAGGUCCAGGUCUUGGGACUAUUGUCAAAGCCUUAUUCAUUGGGUUAAUCAUCUUGCUUGUAUUUCUUAUUAUAAUUUGCUGUCUAUUUCAUUGUUUGUCUUCCACAUGUCAACAAAGUUUCACUUCCUGGACCACUUCCCGUCAAAUGAUUCUCUCGUCUCCAGAGGAUCUGUAUACCUUGUCAGCCUUGGACUCCACGGGCGCAAGCUUCUCAUCUGCUGAACUUCCUGCCUUGUACCCCUGUGGCCCCAUUUAGGGACGGCUCUACGACCUUGUGCAGCCGGAAGUAGUUACAGAAGACUGACCAUCGUCCAUAUCCCCAAAGGAUUUCGGGGCCAAAUGGGUUCAGGGGGCAUUUUAUGAUGGGAGAAAGGCCCAAGGCGUCCUGUCCUACACACCGAUCUAUAUCAUCCUCCGGGAAGCAGAGGACAUCCUGACUUAAUCCGACCUGAUUCCUAUGCAACGUUAUAGGACCACCCGAUAACCAGACCCCACCUGCACUGAUACCAUUUUAAUGACUUUUUUUAACAUGAUUUUUCCUUUGUCUUGUAAAGAGAUAACUCACAUACCUAUGCCUUAUAAAUUUAGCCCUACCCUUAACCCAUUGCAGCUCUUACUGCCCAUGGGUCCUGUCCCCAUGCUACUCCAUGCUAUUCUCUGAAUAAAAGAGCACUACUGCCAGACCUUGAGAGUCUAAGAAAUCUUUCAACUCUUUGGCUCGCUGAGCCCGCAUCACAGGGAUGAGAACAUGGACUUGUGAUUGGCAUCUGA